CCCUUAGAUGUUCUGGGCCGCACGCGCGCUACACUGAUGCAUUCAACGAGUCUAAAACCUGCUCUGAUAGGGGUGGGUAAUCUUUUGAAUGUGCAUCGUGAUUGGGAUAGAUGAUUGCAAUUUUUCAUCCUCAACGAGGAAUGCCUAGUAAACGCAAGUCAUCAGCUUGCAUUGAUUACGUCCCUGCCCUUUGUACACACCGCCCGUCGCUCCUACCGAUUGAAUGAUCCGAUGAAUAUCAUAGACUGAGAGUAUAAGCAGGUUCGCCUGUCUUUGCUUCUCGGGAAGUGAAGUAAAUCUUAUCAUUUAGAGGAAGGAGAAGUCGUAACA
rnacentral:rRNA from 1 species